GCCUCUCACGCCGCACAACGCCCUCCUCGGCUCCGCUCCGCGCCUCGGGCCCGCCCGCGCGCCGCCUCGCUCCGCUCGCACACAAAGAGAGGGAGCGGCGGGCGCGCCCUCGUUCCUCUCAGCGUGAGGGAAGAGUGGGGCUGGGGGGGGGGGCGAGGGCAGCGCCGGGACAUACCACGCCGCGCGGGUUGCGGGUGAUACCAUGUCGGUGGGACCGGCGGCCGUUAGCGCGGGGCGUGGCGGCCCGGGGCCGCGAAGGCGUCGAGACGAGGGGCGGCGGGGAGCGGUCCGGGCCCGGCCCGCCGCACCCUCACCGAAGAACGCAGCCGAGGCGCCGUCCGGGCCGCCCCCGGGGAAGGGCCGCGCGGGAUUUUCAAAGCCCGGCGCAGCGGCCGCGGUGCGGUGAGGCCGCUCCCGACUGAGGGCGUCCCGGCGCGGAAAGCCGGAAGUAAUGGGAACGCCGCAUCGACUGACUUUUCUCCCCUCUUUUUCAAAUCCACGCCGUUUUAACAGAAAACCCCCUAACGAGCACGUGGCGCUGGGCCACGCUCCCGCGGCUGCUCCGCGCUCACGGAGCUCCCCGGUGCCGAGCGAAAGCCCGGCGGGCAGCGGCGUGUCCGGCACAGCUCUGCGGGGCCGCCGGGAGCCACGGAGCGCCUCUGCCAGCGGGACUGCGCGUGCCCAACUGCGUUAGUCCGAAUUACAGCACGGGCUGUGAGCCAUCCCACGGGGUGCGCGGUUCUGGUUACGGGCCAGAUGCUGCUUCCACGUAGCAGCAUACAAAUCACACACAACAAUCGAGAGCACCAAAAGAAACCAACAGAAUGCCUGGAAUCAGGAACUGACGCCAAGCAUUAAGAAGAAAUUCAACCAGAUUCUGUAUUCUUACCCCGUGGGAAUCUCCAAAAUUUGAUGGUUUCUCAUUCCAAUAACUGAGUUUCCAGCAGAACAAGAACUUGAGCAGAGCCGAAGUGACAUUUCAUCUGGUAGUUAGCAGAUCAGUGGUGAAAUGUAGACAUUCUUACAGACAUCCACACUGUUUUUUUUUUCUAGCACAAAGCAAAGGGGGUAUGAAACUCUUGAGACUUGCUUCUGUGUUUGCAAAUGCUGUUGGGACAACAGUGUUCAGCAAGACCCGUCUCUAGUAGCCUCAGGUACACCCCAAAGCACCGCUUUAAGUAACGUUCUACAAGAAUAGUUUCAAUCCGAGAGCAACAAAUGUUUCUUGUGUUGAGAAUAUGUAGUUCUUACCUAGAACAAAGCAGCUGCGACCUCCCCCCCACAUGUCCUGACAGCUCACCGUGGGGCUUCUGCACCGUUCCCAAUGCGCAGAGCUGUAAGAGAACACAAAGGAAACCUCCUUACACAAAACAAAGUAAAUAUAGGGUUGCUCUGCAGUUUGAACACUGGGCAAAGACCGUUCUGUGCACUGCUUCGGGAGCCUGCCAGCACGUAGGAGGCAGUUCAAAGGAAAACAAAGGCAGAUCUCAGGAACAACAUAAUAACAGAGCCCAGCUCCAACCUGCGCCCAGGAAAGUGAGAGGCCUUUGCACAGCAUGCGUAAGUGAGGCUGCAGCAGGAAGAUACUCUUCCAUUUCAGAUUCCCCCGUGCUUCAGGAAGAUGGGAUUACAGAGCAUAAACAUAAAUUUAAGUGCAUCAGAGAUAACUUCAUAAGGAAGAAAAAAAAAAGUCUCAUUCUACCUAGGAUAACAUAUGUAGGUUAUUUGGGCUAGCCAUGCUGGCUAGAAGGGACAACAUUAUCAGGAUGGACUGGUUUCUAGUCAGGAAAGGCUGAACUGUACUCUAGGUGAACUGAUAUGAAGGAAAUACUAGAGCUAUUUACAGAAACAAUGACUAACAAGAUCAGAAGAAUUCAAGAUAAGUACAUCUGGAAUUUGAGCAAGAAAUCUGGGAAGGUGAAGUAGUUGGGGAUUUCACCAUAGCUAAAACUGCAAUAAAACCCAGGAAGAGCGUCUUAGAGAUUCCAUCUGUGGAGGUAAAACAAUGCCCACCCAGUGUGUUACUUCUCAGAAAUCCUGUGAAUUAAUACCCUGAAUAAUAUUCUGGCCACAGAACCACAAACGGUAAAUGAAGGUUGAUGGAACAGCACUGAAACCUGCAUUGAGCACUACUGGUCUGCCAGCAUGUUACUAAUGAUUUCUGCAAGCUAAAGUUACUUCACAUCACAGCUCCAAAGCACGUUGGAGAAAAGAUUGGAAGAAUCUCUCGAGUCCCAAGUCUACAGAACCUCCUACACCCUUCAGGUAAAAUAGCAGCAGUUGUUUUCCUCACCUUACAAGCCCCAUUCCUCCGGCAUCCAAACCUUCAGAGCCACUUGGCACACUGGCAAACCCAUGAAAAAGAAGAAAAAAAGCAGCAGCAGGAGUGUGAAGAAAAGAUGAUGUAGAAUUCUGCAAAUGCCAGUUUGAGAGUAUACCAGGUUUCUCAAGCAUAGUAAGCUGAUGUUCACGUGACAAAGAGGCAGGGGGUCUUAAUAAGAGCCAUCACACUGAACACUUUUUGAGCAGAAAAAUCCCUCAGUGCAUUUUUCAGCUUGAUAACUGGAGUGCUGGUGAUGUAGUUUAAUUGGAUUUACAGGAAUUUAGCAAAUAAAGUUCAUUACUAUUGUCUAUUUUACCAACUUCCAAAGCAACAAAGCACAUGCUGUCACACUGCCUGCAUGUUUCUGAGCGUCUCCUACUCUGCGAGGACUUCUGAAAACUGGCCAGCUGGUUCAACCAGAUUUGACACUGGCUAAGAGUUUCCAACCAUAAUUAUGCUCCGACUAGUUUUGUAAAAACAGGCAGCCAGAGAGAGGCAGAAGAGAGACCUGGUAAGAUGAGUCAAGGGAAAAGUAAGAGAUCACCCCUUACCAGCCACUGGAGAAUCCUGCACAAGCCACACAGGAGGAAAACCAGAUGAAUGUAUCGGUCAUAAGAAAAGCCUCACUUCGAAGUUGCACCUUUUUAAAAGUGGAAGACAGUCAACCAAGAGACACACAUUGGGAGGAUAACUGGCAUCUUUGAUUCUGGACUUCACAGCACAGUUUCUUAUUCAGAAGCAUAAGUUUCUGUCUGGCCAAGCAGUUUUUAUACAAAACGCAAAGUGUUUCUGUAAAAUCUCUUAUCUUAAUAAUAAUCAAGAAAGCUGUGAGAAUCACAUGAAAUAAAUCCUGCUCACAGAGUUACGUGCAUCUAAAAAAGAAUAAAGAACCUCUAUGUUGUUUCAUAGUAUGACUAGAAACUCGCUCUGUUAAAAUGCCUACCCAGAAGACAUACAUUCUUAUGUACAUAUUAAAAAGCACUUAAAAAUGUAUUUCUGAGUUAUGAGACAACUUUGUACCCUUUGACAGGCAGUCCUUACAAAGUAUCUUCAUUUUAACUUUCAUAUAUCCCAGUCUGUCUAAAAAACAAUUUCUGCAUACAUGUGACUAUGUUUAGAUUAUAAUUUAGAGCCAAACCAAUGUAGUUUGAAAGCCAACUAGAAACUUUAUAACUGCUUAGUUUUUAAAUUGAUCUAGCAGUUAUGUCAGGAGGUGAAAAAGGAAGAAGCACAAUCUCACAGAUAAGUAUAAGUAACUCAAAGAAACAAUUUAAUUUCAAAUAAAUAAGGCAGUACUCUGAAAUUCUGUCAGAACUCCUUGACAUUUCCUAGGCUUAAAAUAUUUAAAAA